rnacentral:rRNA from 1 species
AUGCGUCGGGGACGGGGCAACUCGCCACUGAUGGCUGGGCCAAGAAGGAUUACCCGGGUGACGUAUUGCAUUUAUUAUUGUUGCACUUGUCAACUUGAUAAUUUGAUUUCCUGUGUACUUGUAUUCUGCCGAUCCAAGAAGAAUCUCAGGCCUUCUUGUUUUUCUUCUUCUUUUGUGCUUGCUUCAUUUGUUUUACUUAUCUUUUUGCCAGGCUUCAGUAAUCAGACCAACUAUCUGAGUCAUUUAAAAAAUGAGUCCAAAGAACAUUCUUACAUAAACCUUUGUGAGAAGUACAGUAAUUUGGUGGCUAACAUGCUAUCCUGA